UGCGAGUCGAGAGGGUUCGGCCCUCGGCAGACUGCUCAGUAACACGUGGAGAACUUGCCCUACGCUGGAGAAUAAUCUCGGGAAACUGAGGACAAUGCUCCAUAGCCCAGCCGUCCUGGAACGGUGGUUGGGUCAAAGCUCCGGCGGCGUAGGAUAGCUCUGCGGCCUAUCAGGUUGUAGCGAGGGUAACGUCCUCGCUAGCCUACGACGGGUAUGGGUGUUGGGAGACAUCGCCCAGAGAUGGAUUCUGAGACACGAAUCCAGGCCCUACGGGGCGCAGCAGGCGCGAAAACUGCACAAUGUGGGAAACCACGAUGCGGGAAACCCAAGUGCCAGCGCUAUGCGUUGGCUGUCCUCCAGUGUUCGUAACUGGGGAAGAAAGUGCUGGGUAAGACGGGUGCCAGCCGCCGCGGUAAUACCUGCAGCACAAGUGGUGGUCAUUAUUAUUGGGCCUAAAGCGUCCGUAGCUGGCUUGUUAGAUGCCUGGGUAAAUCGAUGCGCUCAACGCAUCGAACUCCGGGUAGACCGGCAAGCUUGGGACCGGGAGAGGCGUGAGCUACU
rnacentral:rRNA from 1 species